GGGAGCCGUAUGACGCGAGAGUGUCACGUACGGUUCUGCGAGAGGCUCGGGGUGGGACUCCCCGGGCCUACUCACC
rfam:Burkholderia sp. STM 7183 genome assembly, contig: CYGY01000078